UAUAGAGAAUACCGUUUCCACGAAAACGGUCAAAUCCAAAGCGACUGUCUGAACAUCUCUUUUUGAAAAUGGGUAUAAUUCUGCUGGGUCAGUAGUUCAGUUGGUUAGAAUGCCGCUCUGAUACAGCGGAGGUCGAAGAUUCGAGUUCUUCCUGACCCACCACUUAAAUUGAUGAGGUUGGAAUCAAAAACAAAUACUUGUUUUUGAUUCCAGAUGUUCUGAUGAAUAUCUUCGGAAUCUGCUUUUAUUAGCAAUCAUUGUAAAUCGGUUUUUAAUGUCGUAAAUCAAACUUUAUGGAAACAUGACUCUUGAUUUAUUGAACAUCGUAAUCUCAAAAAUCUUUCUAAAUAGAGUAAUCACGAAAGUGAUAAUUCAAUUAGAGAAGCAAGAAUCAACUUAAAUGCUUAAAAAACUCAUUAAGUUCUCUUGAUUGUGUUUGAAGACUUUCUCUUCAAGCAUAAGAUAAAAAGUAACAAAGGGUGUUUAGUGGAUGCCUUGGCAAUCAGAGGCGAUGAAGGACGUGAAAGACUGCGAUAAGUCCGGGUGAGGCGUCAAUAUCCUUUGACCCCGGAAUUUC
rnacentral:misc_RNA from 1 species